GACGAACGCUGGCGGCGUGCUUAACACAUGCAAGUCGAACGGUGAAACUCAUCGGAGGGGUUCAGUGGCGAACGGGUGAGUAACACGUGGGCAACCUGCUCCCGGCUCUGGGAUAACUCCAAGAAAUUGGGGCUAAUACCGGAUGUUCACCGCUUACCGCAUGGGUGGUGGUGGAAAGGGUUUCCGGUUGGGGUUGGGCCCGCGGCCUAUGAGCUUGUUGGUGGGGGAGUGGCCUCACCAGGCGACGAUGAGUAGCCGGCCUGGGAGGGUGACCGGCCACACAGGGACUGAGGCGCGACCCAGACGCCUACGGGGGGCAGCAGUGGAGAAUAGUGCGCAAUGUGCGGAGGCCGGACGGAGCGACUCCGGAUGGGAGAGCACGGCCUUCGGGUUGUAAGCCUCUUUCAGCAAUGACGAGGCGCAAUGAAGGGUACCAGCAGAAGAAGCACGGGCCAACUACGG
rnacentral:rRNA from 1 species